UACAGAGGUCUCAAGCGUUGUUCGGAUUCAUUGGGCGUAAAGGGUGCGUAGGCGGCGCGGUAAGUCGGGUGUGAAAUCUCGGAGCUUAACUCCGAAACUGCAUUCGAUACUGCCGUGCUUGAGGACUGGAGAGGAGACUGGAAUUUACGGUGUAGCGGUGAAAUGCGUAGAUAUCGCUUGGAACGCCAACGGUGAAAACAGCUCGCUGGGGGUGUGCUGACGCUGAGACACGAAAGCCAGGGAAGCGAACGGG
rnacentral:rRNA from 1 species